AAAGUUAAAAAGCUUACCGUGCACGAUGUGAAGAACCAAAGCGUGCAAACUGAUGUGGCCACGUUUAUUCAGUUCGUUAUACUUUCUGUUAUUUAGUUGUUGUGUUUGUGUUAACGUCGGAAUAUGUCUCCAAAGAAGAAGCAUGGGUCAAGUCAUCAAUUGAUCCAUUUGAUCUAUCGACAUUUGAAGGAAAACGGCUUCCAGAAAGCUGCAGAAGAACUCAAAAAGCAUGUGAAGGGCGGAGAACCAGAAGCCUUGUCAACUUCACUACUGGACAUCUACAAUAAAUGGUUUGGAGAUGCUUCCAAGAGUACAAAGACUGGAACAGAACCGGAUUCUUCUGAGUUAAAAAAGAACCGUCAAGCAGACCCUGAAAGCAGCACAGAGAGCUCGAGUUCAGCAGAGGAAGAAACAACACCUGUUAAAGCCUCCCAGACCCCAAAGCCUCAGAGCUCAGCUAAGGCCAGCCCAACUAAGGCCAAGACUGCAGUGCAGACGACUCUUGGAGGGAAGGGGACAGUAGUGGAGGAGAUCUCUGGGACAGACAGCUCAGAGGACUCUGAGAGUGAGGAGACACCGCCACAAGAUAGCCCUGCUACGCCCAAAGCCAAUCAUGUUCCAGCUGCAAAGAUCAAGGCCGUGUCAGAGGUCACACCAUCGACCCCAACCAAGGCCAAGUUAACAACCACUUCCACGACUAAAUCUGGGGCCUCCAGCAAUACCACUGAUACGUCGUCAGACAGGAAAGAGGCAACAACAGUGAAAACACCCUUGACGCCAGCACCAGUGACGCCAACCAGUAAACCAACAUCAACAGCCAAGACGAAAGCUACUCCAACUAAAGCAGUGGUUGUUGCUACUCCAAGCAAGGCCACGGCAACAACAACAGCCACACCUGCAUCUACAGCAUCCGACUCCUCCAGUUGCAGCAUGGAAUCGUCAGAUAGCGAUGAGGAGAGUCCCGCUGUGAAAACACCCACAACACCAAGAGCAACACCUGCAAAACCGGUAACACCAAUUAGUAAAACAACAUCAACGGCCAAGCCAACAACCAAGUCGAAGACUACAGCGCCAGAGGCUUCCAGUGACAGCUGUGAUUCAUCAUCAGAAAGUGAAGAGGAAGGUCCAACAGUGAAAACACAGACAGCGCCAGUGAAGCAACAGACAGCAACACCAACAGCCAAGAUGAAAGCCACCCCAGUUAAACCAGUGGUUGCUGCUACCCCAAAUAAGACCUCGGCUAGUAAGGAGUCCAGUGAUAGCAUUGAUUUGUCAUCAGACAGCAACGGGGAGAGUCCAGCAACAACAACAGCUGCCACUCCGAAAGCUACACCAGUGGUGCAACAGAAAGUAACAUCAACAGCCAAGACGAAAGCUACUCCAACUAAAGCAGUGGUUGUUGCUACUCCAAGCAAGGCCACGGCAACAACAACUGCCACACCUGCAUCUACAGCAUCCGACUCAUCCAGUUGCAGUAGUGAAUCGUCAGAUAGCGAUGAGGAGAGUCCCGCUGUGAAAACACCCACAACACCAAGAGCAACACCUGCAAAACCGGUAACACCAAUUAGUAAAACAACAUCAACGGCCAAGCCAACAACCAAGUCGAAGACUACAGCGCCAGAGGCUUCCAGUGACAGCUGUGAUUCAUCAUCGGAAAGUGAAGAGGAAGGUCCAACGGUGAAAACACAGACAUCAACAGCCAAGACGAAAGCCCCUCCGGGUACCUCAGUUAAACCAGUGGUCGCUGCCACUCCAAGCAAGACCCCAGCUAGUAAGGAGUCCAGUGACAGCAUUGAUUUGUCAUCAGACAGCGAAGAGGACAGUCCAGCAACGGAAGCAGCCACAACACCGGCAAAACCUGCUAAUAAUGCUACCCCGGCUAGAGCAGCGACUGUUGCCCCUCCAUGCAAGGCUACGGCAACAGCCACUGUCACAGCCGAGACUACAACAGCAGAGUCAUCUAGUGACAGCAGUGAUUCGUCAGACAGUGAAGAGCAGGUUCCAUCGGUGACAACAGCCGCAACACCGACAGCUACAACGGGGAAGCAAACAAAACCAACAUCAACAGCCAGGAGGAAAGCCCCUCCGGCUACCCCACUUAAACCAGUGGUUGCUGCCACUCUAAGUAAAACCCCAGCUAGUAAGGGGUCCAGUGACCGCAUUGAUUUGUCAUCGGACAGUGAAGAAGAGGGUCCGGCACCGAAAACAGCCGUGACAACAGCCCCUCCUGCCAACCCAGCUAAAGCAGCGACUGUUGCCACUCCAAGCAAGCCUAAGGCAACAGCCACUGUCACCGCCAAGACUACAAAACCAGGGUCAUCUAGUGACAGCAGUGUUUCAGCAACAACAACAGCGGCAAGACCGAAAGAUACACCAGUGAAGCAAUCAAAACCAACAUCAACAGCAAGGACGAAAGCCCUUCCGAGUACCCCAGUUAAACCAAUGGUCGCUGCCACUCCAAGCAAGACCCCAGCUAGUAAGGGGUCCAGUGAUAGCGGUGAUUCGUCAUCAGACAGCGAAGAGGACAGUCCAGCAACGAUAACAACGUCAAAACCACAAACUACACCAGUGACGCCAGCGAAACUGAAAGCAACAUCAAAAGCCAAGACGAAAGCCACUCCAGCUAAGCCCGUGGUUGCUGCUACCCCAAGCAAGGCCCAGGCAACACCCACUGUCACACCUACAAGUACAGCACCAGAGUCGUCCAAUGACAGCGAUGACUCACCAUCAGACAUCCCAGAUGAAGCCCCAGCAAAGCAUGCUGAGGUUCAACUUAAGACCCCUGCUUCAGCUAAGAAGGCCCAGGGUGGGGGAAUGGGAAAUAAAUCUGCUUCUAAGGACCUGCUCCUACUGCUGAACAGUCUUACUUCACCCACAGCGAAAGCCAUUGAGAAGAAGAGUGUCCGUCGUGGAGACUCCUCCGUUGAGGAAACUCCAGCUGUUACAGCAACACCUGCUGGCCUCGGCUCCAUCAGCCAAGAGGAAAAGAGGUGAAGACAAACCAGGGGACACACCCGUGAAAGGCAAAAAGAAGAAGCCCUCGCCUGAGACUGUCAUGGCUGCCCUGCCUCUGACCGUUCUUGGUCCUCCUCCUACAGGGGGAGACGACUCUGGCUCGGACUCUGACUCCGAUCUGGACGUGGAGAAGUGGAAGAGACUGGCACUGGAACUAUCAGACACAAACAUCGCCAAAAUGGACGCCAUCACUGCGCUGAACGCCUCACCUGCUCCUGCCUCAGCAGCGAAGAAAACAAGAGCGCCGACGAAGCCCAGGGCUAAAGCUGCAUCGAAGACACCUAAACCCAAGGCUGGCGCUGCAGUGGAAAAGUCUAGUGCUGCUGAAAAAGUCAAGACUACAGCUGAAAAGGAAGAUGGGAAUGGGAAGACCAAGACAUCUGCAAAAGCCACUAAAGCCAAGUCCAGUCAGGCUAAGAAGGCAGCACCUCCCACCCCAUCAGUCAAAGACAAACAGCCACCCACCAUGCCUGCUACCCCAACACCUAAUGGAGAACCGUCAGCCAGGAAAAGGAAGAGGAAUAGGAAAAAUAGGAACAAUGAGACUAAAGCAGAUGACAAUUCACCACAACCUCAAAAGAAGAAAAGGGAAACCGGCGAAGAGAAGACGGAUGAAAAGAAAAAUGAGACUGUAGAAGAGAAGGAACCAGGGAAGGAAAAGAAGAGGACGACUAAGGAGAAUGGUGCAAAAAAGGAGAAGGGAGCGAAGAAGAAACAGGAGGAGAUAAGAAAGGAGAAUGAGACUAAGAUGGAACUGGAAAAGGAUAAGAAGAAGAAAACGAAUGAGAACUGUGUUGACAAGGAACCACCACCUCCAUCCACCACAGUAACACCUGAUUCUCCAACAGAGAAGAAAAAGAUUAAAAAGCUGAAACUCUCAAAGACUGCAGUGUCUGAGAUGCCAGCCACACCUGCCCAAGACUCCAUCCCUGUACAGCACCCUCCAGCACCCACAGAGACCCCACCUAAAAAGAAAAAGAAAUCAUCUAAGAGUAAGUAAGGCCUUUAGAGAUGAAGACCAUCUAAAAGGGGCCUCUCAAGUGUAUGUGGACCUGGACCCAUUCUACCUAAAUGGCAGUGCAGCAACAACUGGUAAAGACUGUCUGUCCACAGAAUGGUCUCCCUGGACCAGAUCUAUUUUUUAUUACAUUGUAUACUGUAACAAAUGAACUCUUUUCCCGUUUUGCUAAAGUGGAAACAGUGUUUUUUUAGCCUAUUUGUUUAUCUAUUUUUUAAAACUGUAACUGCAUGUCCUGUACAGGUUCUAACUGUUUUCCUAUUUGAAGAUGGCAUACUAUGUGAUGUGCCGCAGCUGUUUUUAUGUUACUGUAACAUUUUAAUUAUGGUGUUUUCUUGCAUGUCCUUGUGACAGCGGAAAAAAACAGAAUGAUUUACGGAAAUGUUACGUUUACGACAGCUUUUGCUGCUUUGCCUCACAUGGUGUUUAAGGCCGAUCCUAAGUGGAGGGAAUGAUCAGAGGAACCUCAAUACAGUAAUGAAGCCCAGAGCCAUUGUUUAACCCUUACACCCUAGUAAUGAAUGCAUAAUAUGGAAAUAUUUGAGAUACUACUAGGAAAAUAGAUUUUUUAUUUUUUUUUAAGUUUCAUGGUCAGAUGUGUUUACUGUAUCUUUUUCACAAAAUUAAGUCAUUUUUCCACA
ensembl:lncRNA